rnacentral:rRNA from 1 species
UAUGAAAGGGUUAACGAGGAAGGUGCUGUGUCUAAAAACUUAGUUUAAACUAACUUAAAGGUGAAGAGGCCUUUAUAAGAAAGAAGGACGACAAGACCCUAUGAAGCUUUAUCUUAUUAGGGAUUUGAAAGAUCCUUAUACGAUUUUGAUGGGAGAUCAGUAAAAAUAAGUCUUUUACCAUUAUUUUUAUCUUACAAGUGUUUCCUAAUUUUAUAUGUGUGACUAGCUACUCUAGGGAUAACAGCGCAAUUUCUCCCGAAAGAUGGUAUUGGAGGGGAAGAUUGCGACCUCGAUGUUGGC